UUUAAUGAGAGUUUGAUCCUGGCUCAGGACGAACGCUGGCGCCGUGCC
rnacentral:rRNA from 1 species